GAGAGGAAACAAGGCAGCUCUCGGGCAUGCAUUGGCACCGGCGAUGCCCCAUGGUCGUGCAGUUUGCAUGUGGGAACUGAAGCUUUGAUUUUCACUUGGGCAGUGAUAGGAUUCUUGGAAAGCACAUGUGUCAGAUUUAAACCAGAUUGUGACACCUGGAGAGGACUGCUGUGGAUUUCAGAAUUCUACAGAAGACAGAAUUAUUUCCCCAUAACUACUUGCCUCAAUAGCACAUGGGGCUGGAUGUCUUUUACUUGCAGUAAGUGGGACCCGCAACGAAAUGUUGCAGGCUGGAGUGCUCCUAUAAAGAGUUCCAGCCAUCUAGCUAUGCCUUCUUUGAGUAUACUUCAUCCCAUCCCUCCAUUUUUCUGUUGGUUCUUCCAUACACACACCUCAGUCUUUGUUGAGCUGUCUUUGGUUUCCCACAACCCUUUGGUUCCCCACCUCUCAAGCCUGCUGAUACCCCUUCCUUGUUUGUGUGAGGUGCUAUUUUGCCUACACAAAGAUUCAUGCUUAGUGAAUGAAUUCACUCUUAGUAUGUAGCAUAUUGUAGUAUGUACAGCAAGAACCACUGUGUGAUUAGAUCUUAUGAAAGGGAACUGCCAUGGUCCAUUUACUAAGAUGUUUUGCUUCAGCAGCCACUACUGUUGCAGAGUAAAUAAAACAGAGCUCAGGAAAACUCAGUACUUUGGCAGUGUUCAAUGGGGUAAGACAGGCCGGGACAGGAGACUACAUUCUUUGAUCUGAGAAUGGAGGUAUAAUGUUAACAAGAAUGUUCUUAUCUGUGAAGUGUUAGGUGGUGUGCCACUGCAUCUGGUCAUCCUAGCUGAAAUUCAAAGCUAUUUACAAGUAAAAUAUGUGCAAAACGCUGCCUUUUUAAAGGAAACAUAGCAAUUCUUAGGAAAACAUGGAAGCAAAUACACACUUCCAGAAGUACCCUUGCAGAGUAACAGUGGCAUGGAUUUGUUCAUAUUAUCUGUGAUAAGCAAAGGUCAAAGACAUUCACCUUUGCAUGAAAUAUUUCAUCCCUACAAAACAUAACUGUAAAAAGAGGAAGGCAAAAGAGCCAGCUUUAUUAAUUUUGUAAGAUUAGCAGCUGAGGAACAGCAUUCUGUGACCAUAAUUCAACUAAGCAGUGAGAAUGAUAGUUUAACUUGAGAGUGAUACAACUGAAAACAUGGCUUUUGCAAGAGUAGGCAGGAAAUAAUGUUGAAGAUGGAACUGUACCACUUCUACCAGUCAGGCUUAUCUGCUAAUAGUAGGCUUUUACAAGCAGGAAGAAAAGGUGUAAGUGACCAGAACAUAAGAUUCAGGUAGGUAGCCAUGUUGGUCUGAAGCAGUCGAAAUAAAUAAAAAAAUUAAAAAAUUGUCCAGUAGCACUUUAGAGACCAACUAAGUUUGUUCUGGGUAUAAGCUUUCAUGUGCAUGCACACUUCUUCAGAACAACAAGAAUCAUGUUACCUCAGUUUUGAGAAAAUUAGCAAUAAAAUUUUGGCCAAACUUACAUCAAAGUAUUUCCAUUAUUGUAAAUAUGAAGGUCGCUUCAGGCAUGACUUUCCC